GCUUGGGUCCCCUUCCAUGCUGUGGAAGCUUUGUUCUUUCACUCUUCACAAUAAAUCUUGCUGCUGCUCGCUCUUUGGGUCCAUGCCACCUUUAAGAGCUGUAACACUCACUGCAAAGGUCCGCAGCUUCAUUCUUGAAGUCAGUGAGAUCAAGAACCCAGAAGGAACCAACUCCGGACACAUCUUGGUGACCCAAAUGGUACUAUUGCCAAGUGGUGGAUCCAUAGGAAGGCAAGAGCAUCAGGGUUCAGGCCUGACUCUGCUCUUCUCGGGCUGGUGAUGUCCUAGAAUGUGGAUUUGCCUGUAAUUCGAAAAUGUUGCACUCUUAACGCCACAACACUCAGAGCACUGGAGAGGUGAAUACUGAUUGCCCUUGGCUCUGAGGGCAUGGGAUCAUGCUCUCCGAAAGAACUAAGAAAACUGCGUGGUAACCUGUGUCAGCAAGGCCUCAGGUCAACAGUGGAUAAACAUCUGCUGUGGGAUCAUGCAGGUCUCACUCCUUGUUGAGGGUAUAGUGGGACAACUGUGUGAAGCCUCAGGUGGAAAUCAGCCUGAUCCACCCUUUACAACCUUGAAAGCGCCUGGAUUCUCAGACUUUUCAACAAGAGAGAUAAUCCUUGGAGGAAAAUACUGAGCUUCCUGCUUAUUCAGCGGAUGAGUGCUUAGGCAAUUUCUUGGAAAAAAUAAAAUGAUGUGAGCGUAUUUUCACUUUGAGUUUAUGAGGCUAGUUAUACUCAGGAAAUGUUCAAGAUACAGUUCUAUCUAUCUAUACCUAUCUGUCUAUUUACAUCUAUCUAUCUAUCUAUCUAUCUAUCUAUCUAUCUAUCCAUCCAUCCAUCCCUCUAUCCAUCCAUCCCUCUAUCUAUCUGUCUGUCUAUCUAUCUAUCUAUCUAUCUAUCUAUCCAUCUAUCUAUCUAUCUUCCUACCUACUGUAUCUAUCUAUUUUCCUACCUACUGUUUGCCUAUUUACUAAGAAAAAUUUAACAAUGAACUCUAAGUACUGGCAUUACAGGCAAUUUUCACAUGGUUAUAAGAACGGAUGCUCAAUAAAUAUCUGUUGAAUGAAUAAGUGAAUGACAUUUCUUCUGUGUGCUUUAUGUUUGAUUCUAAACUCCAUGAAAACAG
rnacentral:lncRNA from 1 species